GAGUGUGGCGUCAGUUCCGGGGGUUGAAUUGAAGGAGGCUGCAGCUCUCGCAGCGUUUGAAGGGUUGGGAUCGGGCUGUGCCGCUGCAUUGGAGGGCGCUUCUUGUGCCCCUGGCCCGGCAGCCAAGGCUGUGGCGCGGGAGCUGCUGGCGUUGCCUGGGGAGCUGCCGAGAAGUGUUACACACACACUUGUAUUUCAUUAUGGAAAUGAAGCAAGGAAGCUGGAGAAUAAUCAGUAUGAAAAUCAGGGGCCUGGCUUCUCAUUUAUGUUGAAACAAGCAAAACUUUUCACCUGCUUGCUUUCCAUCCAGCAAACGGCUGGACUCUAGCUGAGCCUCACAACAGCAGCUUGUAAUCCCAAAAUCCGGAUGAAGCCCCAAGUCUGGGGAUUUGGGAAGCAAGGAUUCUAGUGCCAAGUUUCCUUUCCUCUGCCUGGAAUUCCUUCUACCAUCGUCAUUCUGCUGAGCCAGGAGCAGUUCUGCUGCUGAGGACUGAUCUGUACAGAGCCAGCUGAAGUUCUGGAGUCAGUCUUGUUUCCCCGGCAGAUGCUAUUCAUGGAUACAACCAAGAGUAAAAGCAGUAGGGCAGCUCUGUUUGUUCUUAAGUGCCCCAGAAGUGACUCUUUUUAGGAAUCUACACAUGGUCAAACUUGACUUUUGUCUCUAUCAGAGCACGAACCUACACUUUUUCUUUGAAGACUGCUGUAUCCAGUGGUUUUGUCUGUUUUCUUGGUCAAAAUCUCUGAGAAAAACUCUGAUUAUACAUGGUUUGUAGCAAGCUGUUGUUUGUGCUCUAAUAAGUUUGAGUAAUGGGGUUUUGUAACCAUCAUUCAUUACACUUGUGUUCAAAAUCAAUGCGUUCGUACUCUUGGGAUAAUACUCUUGAAAACAUAAAGCUUCCAUGAUAAAGUUAAGCCACGGAAUCAAUGUUUUUUCAGUUGAACUUUCUGAAGCUUCUGUCUAAAGCGUCCCCAGCUAAAGCUGGAAAGUCAAAUCAGUGAUCAAAGUUACUGAGAACACGAGGAAUUAAAGCCAAAAUUCUGAAACUAGAAGGUAGGCUGCAGAAAAAAACCCUAAAUUCUAUAAUCUAUAUAUUACUGUCUUUACAGAGAAGAAUGACAAAUGGAGAAUUAAGUGGAAUUUUCAGUAGGACACGAAGGAAAGAAUACUGCAGCGACAGCUCUUAGCAUGACUGCAGUUCUUGGUCCUUCAGCGUUUCCAUUAUAAGAAGCCUUUUCUACUCUGUUUUCAAGAGUGUUGUAAAAUCUCUCACUAGAUACAAACUUGAUCUCGGGCAGAAUUCAGAGCUGGGGGUUUUGUUCUUUCCAGUUGUUUGAAAUUCCCCUGGCCUUUUGAUACAAAGGGGAAGAAGAGGAAGGCCCACAACAGUCACACACCACACUCAAGUGAUGUUUCUACGAUAAAAAACUGCAAUUCUAUCAGUGUUUGCAUUAAAGUGCUUUAAUUAAACAAAAGGUCUUAGUUGUUGUGCAGUUUUAAGUAUUGCAGCAAAUGUAGUAUGUUUUUAUGUAUUUUUUAAACUUCCAUUAAAAAAGUGUCACACAAAAUGCAGUCCUAGUUUUAUUUUUUGAG